GCUCAGAUUGAACGCUGGCGGCAGGCCUAACACAUGCAAGUCGAGCGGUAACAGAAAGUAGCUUGCUACUUUGCUGACGAGCGGCGGACGGGUGAGUAAUGCUUGGGAACAUGCCUUGAGGUGGGGGACAACAGUUGGAAACGACUGCUAAUACCGCAUAAUGUCUACGGACCAAAGGGGGCUUCGGCUCUCGCCUUUAGAUUGGCCCAAGUGGGAUUAGCUAGUUGGUGAGGUAAUGGCUCACCAAGGCAACGAUCCCUAGCUGGUUUGAGAGGAUGAUCAGCCACACUGGAACUGAGACACGGUCCAGACUCCUACGGGAGGCAGCAGUGGGGAAUAUUGCACAAUGGGCGAAAGCCUGAUGCAGCCAUGCCGCGUGUGUGAAGAAGGCCUUCGGGUUGUAAAGCACUUUCAGUCAGGAGGAAAGGGUGUGAGUUAAUACCUCAUAUCUGUGACGUUACUGACAGAAGAAGCACCGGCUAACUCCGUGCCAGCAGCCGCGGUAAUACGGAGGGUGCGAGCGUUAAUCGGAAUUACUGGGCGUAAAGCGUACGCAGGCGGUUUGUUAAGCGAGAUGUGAAAGCCCCGGGCUCAACCUGGGAACUGCAUUUCGAACUGGCAAACUAGAGUGUGAUAGAGGGUGGUAGAAUUUCAGGUGUAGCGGUGAAAUGCGUAGAGAUCUGAAGGAAUACCGAUGGCGAAGGCAGCCACCUGGGUCAACACUGACGCUCAUGUACGAAAGCGUGGGGAGCAAACGGGAUUAGAUACCCCGGUAGUCCACGCCGUAAACGAUGUCUACUAGAAGCUCGGAACCUCGGUUCUGUUUUUCAAAGCUAACGC
rnacentral:rRNA from 1 species